CCUACGGGCGGCAGCAGUGGGGAAUAUUGGUCAAUGGGCGCGAGCCUGAACCAGCCAAGUAGCGUGAAGGAUGACUGCCCUACGGGUUGUAAACUUCUUUUAUAAAGGAAUAAAGUGAGGCACGUGUGCCUUUUUGUAUGUACUUUAUGAAUAAGGAUCGGCAAACUCCGUGCCAGCAGCCGCGGUAAUACGGAGGAUCCGAGCGUUAUCCGGAUUUAUUGGGUUUAAAGGGAGCGUAGAUGGGUUGUUAAGUCAGGUGUGGAAGUUUGUGGCUCAACCGUACACUUGCAAUUGAUACUGGCAGCCUUGAGUACAGUUGAGGUAGGCGGAAUUCGUGGUGUAGCGGUGAAAUGCUUAGAUAUAACGAAGAACUCCGAGUGCGAAGGCAGCUUACUAAGCUGCCACUGACAUUGAUGCUCGAAAGUGUGGGUAUCAAACAGGAUUAGAUACCCUAGUAGUC
rnacentral:rRNA from 1 species